UUUGCCAAAACAGUUUUUUUUUCUCUCGAUGCCGGUGAAGAUCUUGCAGGGGAACCCAAAACUUAAACAGCCAAUGCAUAAUCAUCGGGUUUCAUCGAAUACGCGGGAAGACUUAACGGUAAUUUCACCGCCUCGUAUGCCGGUAAUACACCACUUCGAACAGCGCUUGUGAAUCUUGGGAAGGUAAAGUUGUUGAGUGUACACUGAAAUGAUCCUGAAAACGCAUAUCAAAGUAUCCCGCCUUCCACCUUCGAUAAUGGAGGAGACCGUGACAAGAUCAUCCGUUCACUGUAGGUACUAUUAGACGAAUAUUGUUCUUGACUGCUAUUAAUGAAUUCCUCAAUUUGAGAAAAUAUAUAAAUAAUCUUAGAAGAUCGUAGAGAAGCUAUAUAAGGCAAUAAACGAAAAUAAAUGAAAA